rnacentral:rRNA from 1 species
AAUAGAUACCCUGGUAGUCCACGCCGUAAACGAUGUCGACUUGGAGGUUGUGCCCUUGAGGCGUGGCUUCCGGAGCUAACGCGUUAAGUCGACCGCCUGGGGAGUACGGCCGCAAGGUUAAAACUCAAAUGAAUUGACGGGGGCCCGCACAAGCGGUGGAGCAUGUGGUUUAAUUCGAUGCAACGCGAAGAACCUUACCUACUCUUGACAUCCAGAGAACUUAGCAGAGAUGCUUUGGUGCCUUCGGGAACUCUGAGACAGGUGCUGCAUGGCUGUCGUCAGCUCGUGUUGUGAAAUGUUGGGUUAAGUCCCGCAACGAGCGCAACCCUUAUCCUUUGUUGCCAGCGGUUAGGCCGGGAACUCAAAGGAGACUGCCAGUGAUAAACUGGAGGAAGGUGGGGAUGACGUCAAGUCAUCAUGGCCCUUACGAGUAGGGCUACACACGUGCUACAAUGGCAUAUACAAAGAGAAGCGACCUCGCGAGAGCAAGCGGACCUCAUAAAGUAUGUCGUAGUCCGGAUUGGAGU